UACAGAGGGUGCAAGCGUUGUUCGGAAUUAUUGGGCGUAAAGCGCGUGUAGGCGGCUUUGCAAGUCGGGUGUGAAAGCCCUCGGCUCAACCGAGGAAGUGCGCCCGAAACUGCAGAGCUUGAGUACCGGAGAGGAUGGCGGAAUUCCCCAAGUAGAGGUGAAAUUCGUAGAUAUGGGGAGGAACACCGGUGGCGAAGGCGGCCAUCUGGACGGAUACUGACGCUGAGGCGCGAAAGCUAGGGGAGCAAACAGG
rnacentral:rRNA from 1 species